AGAGUUUGAUCCUGGCUCAGGACGAACGCUGGCGGUGUGCUUCACACAUGCAAGUCGAACGAGGUAGCAAUACCUAGUGGCGGACGGGUGAGUAACGCGUGGGAAUCUGCCUUUAGAUGGGGGAUAACGAGCCGAAAGGCUCGCUAAUACCGCAUAUGCCGCAAGGUGAAAGGAGUAAUCCGUCUAAAGAUGAGCCCGCGUCCGAUUAGCUAGUUGGUGGGGUAAAGGCCUACCAAGGCGACGAUCGGUAGCUGGUCUGAGAGGAUGAUCAGCCACAAUGGGACUGAGACACGGCCCAUACUCCUACGGGAGGCAGCAGUGGGGAAUUUUACGCAAUGGGGGAAACCCUGACGUAGCGACACCGCGUGAGCGAAGAAGCCCCUUGGGGUGUAAAGCUCUGUCAGCUGGAACGAAACAAAUGACGGUACCAGCAGAGGAAGCAUCGGCUAACUACGUGCCAGCAGCCGCGGUAAGACGUAGGAUGCGAGCGUUGUCCGGAUUUAUUGGGCGUAAAGAGUUCGUAGGUGGUUUGUUAAGUUUGAUGUUAAAGAUCGGGGCUCAACCUCGGGACAGCAUUGAAUACUGGCAGACUUGAGUAUGGUAGAGGCUAGUGGAAUUCCCAGUGUAGCGGUGAAAUGCGUAGA
rnacentral:rRNA from 1 species